rnacentral:lncRNA from 1 species
CAGCUGCUGAGUGACUAAGGGACAGGUAGCGUAUAAUGUGUGGAUACACCAGAUAAAGGGAUGAUUCACUUCCGUGGAGGAUGGAGUGGGAUGGCAUGAGAUUUCAUCACACUAUGCAGAAUGGCAUGCAAUUUAAACUUAUAAAUUGUUUAUUUAAUAUUUUCAGACUGCAGUUGACCACAGUAAAAAGGCAGAUUGGAAUAGGGAAAAUGUUCUAAUAUGAAGAUACCUGAAUUUUCAUCUUGGUUCCAGAACUCACAAAGUGUGUAGACCUAAGGCUCAAACACAUACCAUACCAUGAACAGCCCACUCCUCUCAAAGGGAGAAUCAGCACAUUAGAGGCCAGUGGCCCAAGAUGGGGAAGAGCAUGGUGUCGGGCCCCAGAGAGUGACCGGGUCACGGAGGAAGAGAACACUGUAGAAGGACCUGGAUCCUCCCCUUGGGAGCCAGUCUCCUCCGUUUCCAGAAAUAACUUGUGCGCCUCCGGUAAAGCCACUGUGCACAGGAGAAACAGGAAUAUGAAGACCCAUAAAAAUGCGUUACUUUUGUGAUCACAGACAAAACUGAAAGCCUUGAAAAUAUAUACUUCAUGGACUAUGCCUAAUUAAACACUAUAGGGUCUUUGCAGAUGUAAUCGAGUUAAGACGAAGUCAUAAUCCAAUAUGGCUAGUGUUCUUACAAGAGGAAAACCAGUAUGAAGACAGAGACACAGCAAGAGAAGGCCAUGUGAUGGCAGAGGCAGACUAGAAUGGUGCAGCUGCAAGUCAAGGAUUGACAGCUACCACCAGAAGCUAGGAAAAGGCAAGGAAGGAUUCUAAGCAGGGACUCAGAGGGAGCACGGCCCUGCUGACACCUUGAUUUCAGACGUCAGCCUCCAG